UACGUAGGGUGCAAGCGUUGUCCGGAAUUAUUGGGCGUAAAGAGCUCGUAGGCGGUCUGUCGCGUCUGCUGUGAAAACUCAGGGCUUAACCCUGAGCUUGCAGUGGUACGGGCAGACUAGAGUGCGGUAGGGGAGACUGGAAUUCCUGGUGUAGCGGUGAAAUGCGCAGAUAUCAGGAGGAACACCGGUGGCGAAGGCGGGUCUCUGGGCCGUAACUGACGCUGGAGGAAGCGAAAGCAUGGGGAGCGAACAGG
rnacentral:rRNA from 1 species